GUCUCCUCGGAAACAUCCAAUAAAAAAGGAACGAUACAGAGAAGAUUAGCAUGGCCUCUGCAUAAGGAUGGCACGCACAAAUUGAUAAAUGGUCUAGAAAAGA